ensembl:lincRNA
GGUGGGUCCUGUACAGGAAAGCUCAGUUUGGUGCCCUCAGCUGACACCGUCCCGGGGCCUGUCCCUGGGGAGCUUGGCAGCUGAGCAGGCCCCUCUCAGAACGUGGGACCUCUCCUAUGGAUGGAAGGUGACUGGACCUUGCACACCCAGCUGAGGUAAGAGGGAGGGUCCUGGGGGCAGGAUCUGGAGGAGGCUGGGUGGAGCAUUCCUGGUGCUGGCUUGCCUCCAUCCCUGGGUCUUAAAUGAUCUGGCCCAGAUUCUGUCCUGUUGCAGGGGGGAGGCCUGGGGCUUGGAAGCUGUUUUCUAGGUCUCCACGGGGGCUGCCAUGGGGGCCUCUGUCAACCUCUGGGGCUUCUCAGGAGCCGCUGGUCCCACUGAGCCUAACUUUUCUCAUCUGUAGGAUGGAUGUCACCUGUGUUCACCUCACAGCUGCUGUGCGGGGUGAGGGGGCGGGGGAGAGACACUGGUCGCAUUGAUGCAGCCCUUGCAGUUUGACUGGUCCUUCCAGACCAGUCUGACAGCUUCCUGGUUCCCCAGAAACUGGCCAAGCUGCAUUCCAGGACCUGGCGCUAGGGCGGAGGUCUCCGAGGGGGCAGUAGGGCUGCCCUGUCCUGGGAAGAUGGGCCGCCCAGGGCCCCCAGGGGAGAAGGUCUCUGGCAUCCAGCUGUCUGGUUUCCCCAACGUCCCUGGAGAUGUCCCUGGUGAUGUCAUCCCCGGCCCUGAAGACUCGGACCUGGUGCCCUCCGUGACCCUGGCUGCAGCCCUUGCCCUGCUGUUCCUCCUGCUCUCAGGCUGGCUGGUGUGGGACGAGCUGCUGCUAGUGUGGGCUCCAGGGGUUACCAGCAUUGAGAAGCCACUACGACCUUUGCCUUCCCUAAAUCCAGAGUCAUUUGGCCGAGAAGCUCUUCCCUGAGUCCUUGUCGGAGCAUUUGUCUUCAAAGGGAGGAGGAGAAUCUGUGAGUUUGUGUUCAAACGUCGGCCAGGCCACAGACUUUGGGAAAGUUCCAAACCUUCGCUGUGCCUCUGGGUUCCCGUGGGUUCCGCGGGCUCAUUCCUGUGGCCGCCUCCCAGGGGCAUGGGAUCUGUCUUGGGGACUUAGUGGAGGGUCCUGACCUGGAGACUCAGGCUGAACAGCCGGAGUGGGUGUGUGUCACCUUGGCUGCUGCCGCCGCCGGCCCUGACCACAGGUUCCUCCCGGUGCCUCUGCUCACUCCGAGGGGAGGCAUCCUCCAUGCGCUCCUGUGUGGGCUCCUCCUGAAAUGUACGCAGAAUGAGGGCAGGAAUGCUGCCCGUCUCAUUUGCUACUGUCUGUGUGGUAUGGUUUGUAUCUGUCUGUGUGAUAUGGUUUAAAUCUCACCUUGAAUUGUAAUCCCUGUGUGUCCAGGAGGGAAAAUGUGGCCUGUGGGGGUGGUUUUCCCCAUGUUGUUCUCCUGACAGUGGGUGAGUCUCAUGAGAUUGGAUGGUUUUUAAAGUGGCAGUUUUUCCUUUGCUCAUGCUCACUCUCUGUCCUGCCGCCCUGUGACGAAGGUGCCUGCUUUCCCUUCCACCAUGAUUGUAAGUUUCCUGAGGCCUUCCCAGCCCUGCCGAACUGUGAGUCAAUUCAAUUCAACCUUCUUUGUUUAUAAAUUGCCCAGUCUCAGGUAGUAUCUUUAUAGCAGUGUGAGAACAGACUAAUACAAUGUGCAGGGCUGAAGCAGCUCAAUAAAUAGUUGAUGGAUGGACGGAUGGAUGGAUGGAUGAAUGAAUGAAUGAAUUCACUAAUUACUGAUUCACUUGUUGAGUGUGGUAGAGCAUCAGAUCACAGACCUUAGAUCCUGGCUUCCAAGGCUUGAAUCUGUGAUGGGCUGGCUCCAUAAUUUUAAGUGAUUUAUGUAAUGGUCCCAUACCUCAGUUUCCUCAUCUGUAAAAUAAAGGCCAAUGAUUUCUGUUCUUAUCAGUACGGCCAGUUAAGAACCUAUACAAACCCUCCCACUAACAGCGGCUAGAAAUUCUGGAUAGAAUAAAAAAUGCCUGUCUUGUUCAUUAUUGUCUUGAGCUGACUAGGAAGUGUGGAGUACUCAGGCCAGGAUGGAGAAGAGAUGGGACCCAUAGAGGAAGGUGGAUACUGAAGCUGGCUUUGCUGGGACAUAUGGAAAGAAGUGGCCACCGCUCCAUCUCUGAAACAAAAAGCGGAACUUAUUGUUUGUUAAGCAAGGGAGAUCUAAACCUGUAAGGCUCAGACUCCUUGGACGAAGCAAAUUCCUGGCUUUGCAUAGAGUUUCAGGAAGAGUGGGGUUCAGGCACAGGAAGCUUUCAGACGUGGGAGAGCUUAGGGGUUGGCUGAUCUUUAACUGAGGGAGACUAGUUUUUGGAGAGGGGCUAUUGCUGGUGGGUUGAACAAAGAAAGUGGUCACUACUAGAUUGAGAUGGACUCAGUGCUGGUGUUUGACUCAGUUUGCUUGUUGCUGUGGCCAGAGAACAGCCUGUCUUCUUUUUGACGUUGGAGGAUUGAAAACUUUUUAUUUUCAUAGGCAAACCUGAGCCUCGUUUUUUGACUACCUUUGUGGCUAGAGGUCAGAAGACAAAGCACAGAGCCUGACCAUGCAGGAGAGUCUAGCAGAAGACCCUUCCUUCAAUGUGGGACACCAUGAGCUAUACCUCACUGUCAUGGAAAACAAAAAGAUCGAUUUCCCCAUUGGAUACUACAUCAACACUGCCUGUAGCGAACUUUGGUGCCAAGUGGAAGAGGAAAAGCAUUCUCUAAGAAUUAAUAGCUAUAACCUGACCUUCAUGUGUGUAUGUAGCCUGAAUCCAUAUUUCCUCAAUUAUCCAAAAUAAAGGAUUUUAGUUUAAAGGAGUCUCAUAUUGGAAGUACCUCAGUUGUUUGACAGAAGUAAAUACAAUUACUUUCUAAAGGACUCUGCCUUUACCUCAGGCCUCAGAAAAUUUCCAUAAAUUUCCACAGAAAACAAGCAGUUCAAAGUAAAAAAAAAAAAAAAAAUCACUAAAUAUACAAGGAAGCAAAACACCAUGAGUGAAAGUCAACAGAAACAAUAGGCAGUAGAAUCAGAUCAGCCAAAUAUUUAGAUACUAAAAAUAUCAGGACUGGAAAAUAAGUAUGUUUUAUGGAAGAAAUAAAAGAGGCUUGACUAUAUCAAUGAAGAACAAGUACCAAACCUACUCUUAGAAAUAAAAACAUGACAAUCAAAAUGCUAAACUCAAAAGAUAGUUUAACCACAGUUUAGACACAACCAAAGAAGGAAUUGAUGAACUGAAGGAUAAGACAAAAUAAAUUAAGAAAAUUGCACUCUUGAAAGGUUAAGAACUAGGAAAUCUAAAGAACAUGAGAACUAGAAUGCAAGUGUAAGCAUAUUGCAAGUGGAGUUCAAGAAAAUGAGAGAUAGAAUAGGGGUAGGGGCAAUAUUUGAAGAGGAUUAUGGCUGAAACUAUUUCAGAUAUUUAAGAAAGCCCAAUGACUCUCAAGCAAGCCAAAGAAAAAGGAUUCCACACCAGUCACAUCAGAAUAAAAAUGCAGAACACUGAAGAUCAAAAGAAGUCUUAUAAAAGAGCCCAGGAGAAAAUGUAGAUUAUCUUCAAAGAUAGUUAUGCCAAGAGCUUGCUCUUUAGGAGCAACAGUGGGAGUUAGGAAAUAGAGAAGUGAUAUCUUACAAAUGCUCAGAGCAAAUGAUUUCCAACCUAGAAUUCAAUAUCCAGUGAAAAAAUUAAAGAUGCAAAUGGUUGUCAACCUAGAAUUCAAUAUCCGGUGGAAAAUAUAGAGAUACAAAGGAUUACCGAAACUAGAAUUCAAUAUCCAGUGAAAAAAAUAAAGACACAAAGGAUUACCAACAUAGAAUUCAAUAUCCAGUGAAAAAUGUAAAGACAAUCAUAGGCAAAUAAAAAUAAAAAAGAUGCACCACAA